rnacentral:rRNA from 1 species
ACUCCUACGGGAGGCAGCAGUAGGGAAUCUUCCGCAAUGGACGAAGUCUGACGGAGCAACGCCGCGUGAGUGAUGAAGGUUUCGGAUCGUAAACUCUGUUGUUAGGGAAGAACAAGUACCGUUCGAAUAGGGCGGUACCUUGACGGUACCUAACCAGAAAGCCACGGCUAACUACGUGCCAGCAGCCGCGGUAAUACGUAGGUGGCAAGCGUUGUCCGGAAUUAUUGGGCGUAAAGCGCGCGCAGGUGGUUUCUUAAGUCUGAUGUGAAAGCCCGCCGUCACAGGGCCGGAGGUAUGGGAAACUGGGAGAACUUGAGUGCAGAAGAGGAAAGUGGAAUUCCAAGUGUAGCGGUGAAAUGCGUAGAGAUUUGGAGGAACACCAGUGGCGAAGGCGACUUUCUGGUCUGUAACUGACACUGAGGCGCGAAAGCGUGGGGAGCGAACAG